UACGUAGGGGGCUAGCGUUGUCCGGAAUCAUUGGGCGUAAAGCGCGUGUAGGCGGUCCGGUAAGUCCGCUGUGAAAGUCAGGGGCUCAACCCCUGAAUGCGGGUGGAUACUGCUGGGCUAGAGUCCGGAAGAGGCGAGUGGAAUUCCUGGUGUAGCGGUGAAAUGCGCAGAUAUCAGGAGGAACACCGAUGGCGAAGGCAGCUCGCUGGGACGGUACUGACGCUGAGGCGCGAAAAGCGUGGGGGAGCAAACAGG
rnacentral:rRNA from 1 species